GGGGGCAUGGCGGAAUCGGUAGACGCACCAGACUUAAAAUCUGUCGGCACGCAAGUGCUGUGGGGGUUCAAGUCCCCCUGCCCCCA
rnacentral:tRNA from 8 species